UGGGGAAUAUUGGACAAUGGGGGCAACCCUGAUCCAGCAAUGCCGCGUGUGUGAAGAAGGCCUGCGGGUUGUAAAGCACUUUCAGUGGGGAAGAAAAAAUUGGAGCUAACACCUCCGAUCUUGACGUUACCCAUAGAAGAAGCACCGGCUAACUACGUGCCAGCAGCCGCGGUGACACGUAGGCACCAAGCGUUGUCCGGAUUUAUUGGGCGUAAAGAGCUCGUAGGCGGUUCGGUAAGUCGGGUGUGAAAACUCUGGGCUCAACCCAGAGACGCCACCCGAUACUGCUGUGACUUGAGUACGGUAGGGGAGUGGGGAAUUCCUGGUGUAGCGGUGAAAUGCGCAGAUAUCAGGAGGAACACCAGUGGCGAAGGCGCCACUCUGGGCCGUAACUGACGCUGAGGAGCGAAAGCGUGGGUAGCAAA
rnacentral:rRNA from 1 species